CGUUGUUAGCUCUCCGUGGGCUGCAUCCUGGGCUGGAAGUGGGGCUCACUGCCAUUCGCUCGGAUUCACUGAAGAAGCAGCAGCACUGCCAGCAGCAGCUCUGGAGAGAACCCGCACCCAGGGCAGCUGUUUGGAGAAAGGUUGCAGUGAUGGUCCAGAGAAUCCCCGCCUGUUUUCCAAUACGUCAGCAAGGCGCCCCCCACCCCUCCAGGAAUGAUCCCGACUUAGCCUCACCCGCCCUGUGCUGCUCUUGCCUCCUCGCAGAUUUGCCCAAGGGCUGGGAGACAGAUUCCACCCCCGAAGGAGCUGUGUACUUCAUCAGGUGAGUAAGACGAGAGUUUUCUUUCUCAUCCCCUUCCUGCUGAUGCUGCUUGCAUCCCGGUCCACCAGUCCUCCU
rnacentral:lncRNA from 1 species